rnacentral:rRNA from 1 species
AUGCUGCUGCUGCUUGUCGUCGUCGAUGUUGAACUCGUGCUCGAGGUCGUCGAUGUCCUCCUCGUCCUCGUCGCCCUCCACCCGGGGGCUCCCCUUGAGGCGCUUGUAGCGGGUCUUGCACUGGGGGCAGUUCUGGGUGCCCUCCCGGCGCUCGUACUCGUAGCAGGGGCGGCACACCGGGAAGCCGCACUCGUUGCAGGCCACGAAGAGGUCGCCGUCCACCGUGCGGCCGACCUCGUCGCCGCAUAUCUCGCACACCUGCCCGCUCAGCGCCCGCGCCGGCUUGUGGUCCUCGUGCCCCCGGAUGAGCACCAGCUCGUUCCGGUUGUGCGAGCCGGCCACCAGCCCGGCGCCCGCCUCCAUGGUCGCUCGCCCGCGGUGUAG